UACGCAGCACGGAGCAGAAUGGCGGACAAACAAAGUUGGAAAGACGAGUGAAAAACACGGAAUAAAACCAGCGUCAGAGUCGUCGCUUUAGUUUCUUAGCACUGUGAGAAACCAUUACACAGCUACAAGAAGCUUUGGAGCGGUUUUUGUCGAACACGAGCGAGGCUUGGACGCUGAGCACACCUGCGGCCAAGGAACUUCAACCAGCAAAUCACAGAGAGAAGAGACUGACAUGAAGAUUUACAGAAGGUGUCACCACUUCGUCCACGACAUCAUCCAUGAUCGGAGAGACAUGGUCCAUGAUCGGAGAGACAUUGUUGAGGAUGAGGGAGACAUCGUCCACGAUCAGAGACAUUGUCCAUGACUCGUGGUGACUCGGUCCCCGAUUAGUCGGCACUGCCGGCGUUCAGAGACAUUGUCAAUGAUCGCAGAGACUUUGUCCAUAAUCUCAGAGACAUUGUCCGCGAUCGCAGAGAUGUAGUCCACAAUCGCAGAGACAUCCACGAUCACAGAGACAUGGUCCAUGAUCGGAGAGACAUUGUUGAGGAUGAGGGAGACAUCGUCCACGAUCAGAGACGUUGUCCAUGAUUGCAGAGACCUUGUCAAAGAUGAGAGAGGCGUUGUCCAUGAUCAGAGACAUUGUCCCAUGCUUCGCAGAGCUCUGCGCAAGAAUCGGUAGUGACACUGUGGUUCCUCGAUUCGACGGCAUGACCGCGAUCAUGGAGACAUUUGUCGACGAUUACAGAGACAGCGUCUAUGAUCUCAGAGACAUCGUCCACGAUCACAAAGACAUUGUCCAUGAUCGCAGAGACUUUGUCCAUAAUCUCAGAGACACUGUCCGCGAUCACAGAGACGUAGUCCACGAUCACAGAGGGACAUCGUAAGAUGAAGUUCUUUGAGACCAGGACAGAGGCCUCCAGGUGUCACCACUUCGUCCACAACAUCAUCCAUGAUCGGAGAGACAUUGUUGAAGAUGAGGGAGACAUCGUCCACGAUCAGAGACAUUGUCCAUGACUCGUGGUGACUCGGUCCCCGAUUAGUCGGCACUGCCGGCGUUCAGAGACAUUGUCAAUGAUCGCAGAGACUUUGUCCAUAAUCUCAGAGACAUUGUCCGCGAUCGCAGAGACGUAGUCCACAAUCGCAGAGACAUCCACGAUCACAGAGACAUGGUCCAUGAUCGGAGAGACAUUGUUGAGGAUGAGGGAGACAUCGUCCACGAUCAGAGACGUUGUCCAUGAUUGCAGAGACCUUGUCAAAGAUGAGAGAGGCGUUGUCCAUGAUCAGAGACAUUGUCCCAUGCUUCGCAGAGCUCUGCGCAAGAAUCGGUAGUGACACUGUGGUUCCUCGAUUCGACGGCAUGACCGCGAUCAUGGAGAUAUUUGUUGACGAUUACAGAGACAGCGUCUAUGAUCUCAGAGACAUCGUCCACGAUCACAAAGACAUUGUCCAUGAUCACAGAGACUUUGUCCAUAAUCUCAGAGACACUGUCCGCGAUCACAGAGACGUAGUCCACGAUCACAGAGAGACAUCGUAAUAUGAAGUUCUUUGAGACCAGGACAGAGGCCUCCAGGUGUCACCACUUCGUCCACAACAUCAUCCAUGAUCGGAGAGACAUUGUUGAGGAUGAGGGAGACAUCGUCCACGAUCAGAGACAUUGUCCAUGACUCGUGGUGACUCGGUCCCCGAUUAGUCGGCACUGCCGGCGUUCAGAGACAUUGUCGAUGAUCGCAGAGACUUUGUCCAUAAUCUCAGAGACAUUGUCCGCGAUCGCAGAGACAUCCACGAUCACAGAGACAUGGUCCAUGAUCGGAGAGACAUUGUUGAGGAUGAGGGAGACAUCGUCCACGAUCAGAGACGUUGUCCAUGAUUGCAGAGACCUUGUCAAAGAUGAGAGAGGCGUUGUCCAUGAUCAGAGACAUUGUCCCAUGCUUCGCAGAGCUCUGCGCAAGAAUCGGUAGUGACACUGUGGUUCCUCGAUUCGACGGCAUGACCGCGAUCAUGGAGAUAUUUGUUGACGAUUACAGAGACAGCGUCUAUGAUCUCAGAGACAUCGUCCACGAUCACAAAGACAUUGUCCAUGAUCACAGAGACUUUGUCCAUAAUCUCAGAGACACUGUCCGCGAUCACAGAGACGUAGUCCACGAUCACAGAGAGACAUCGUAAUAUGAAGUUCUUUGAGACCAGGACAGAGGCCUCCAGGUGUCACCACUUCGUCCACAACAUCAUCCAUGAUCGGAGAGACAUUGUUGAGGAUGAGGGAGACAUCGUCCACGAUCAGAGACAUUGUCCAUGACUCGUGGUGACUCGGUCCCCGAUUAGUCGGCACUGCCGGCGUUCAGAGACAUUGUCGAUGAUCGCAGAGACUUUGUCCAUAAUCUCAGAGACAUUGUCCGCGAUCACAGAGACGUAGUCCACAAUCGCAGAGACAUCCACGAUCACAGAGACAUGGUCCAUGAUCGGAGAGACAUUGUUGAGGAUGAGGGAGACAUCGUCCACGAUCAGAGACGUUGUCCAUGAUUGCAGAGACCUUGUCAAAGAUGAGAGAGGCGUUGUCCAUGAUCAGAGACAUUGUCCCAUGCUUCGCAGAGCUCUGCGCAAGAAUCGGUAGUGACACUGUGGUUCCUCGAUUCGACGGCAUGACCGCGAUCAUGGAGACAUUUGUUGACGAUUACAGAGACAGCGUCUAUGAUCUCAGAGACAUCGUCCACGAUCACAAAGACAUUGUCCAUGAUCACAGAGACUUUGUCCAUAAUCUCAGAGACACUGUCCGCGAUCACAGAGACGUAGUCCACGAUCACAGAGAGACAUCGUAAGAUGAAGUUCUUUGAGACCAGGACAGAGGCCUCCAGGUGUCACCACUUCGUCCACAACAUCAUCCAUGAUCGGAGAGACAUUGUUGAGGAUGAGGGAGACAUCGUCCACGAUCAGAGACAUUGUCCAUGACUCGUGGUGACUCGGUCCCCGAUUAGUCGGCACUGCCGGCGUUCAGAGACAUUGUCAAUGAUCGCAGAGACUUUGUCCAUAAUCUCAGAGACAUUGUCCGCGAUCGCAGAGACGUAGUCCACAAUCGCAGAGACAUCCGCGAUCACAGAGACAUGGUCCAUGAUCGGAGAGACAUUGUUGAGGAUGAGGGAGACAUCGUCCACGAUCAGAGACGUUGUCCAUGAUUGCAGAGACCUUGUCAAAGAUGAGAGAGGCGUUGUCCAUGAUCAGAGACAUUGUCCCAUGCUUCGCAGAGCUCUGCGCAAGAAUCGGUAGUGACACUGUGGUUCCUCGAUUCGACGGCAUGACCGCGAUCAUGGAGAUAUUUGUUGACGAUUACAGAGACAGCGUCUAUGAUCUCAGAGACAUCGUCCACGAUCACAAAGACAUUGUCCAUGAUCGCAGAGACUUUGUCCAUAAUCUCAGAGACACUGUCCGCGAUCACAGAGACGUAGUCCACAAUCACAGAGAGUCUUCGUACAAUGAAGAAGUUUUUUGAGACCAGGACAGAGGCCUCCAGAAAGAGGAGGACAAGACUGCAUCACCUGAAGAGUUACGAUCGCAGAGACAUGGUCCAUGAUGGGAGAGACGUUCGGCAUGAAGAGAGACAUUGCCUACAGUCAGCGAUGUCGUCUAUGAGCACAGAGACCUUUAACAAGCAUAUCUCCUCAUGUGUUCAUCACUACAUUAAAGAGAGAAUAUAUCAAUGUAUCUCCAAGUGGUCAAACAUCUGUCAUUAUCUUUGCUGUGCUUUGUUAAAUGUUGUCAAAAACAGAAUCAAUAAAGUUUUAUAGUCUUGAGUUGAGUCU